rnacentral:lncRNA from 1 species
UGUUUUUAGAUGUAUUUUAUUAUAUGUGCAUACCUAAACACAGAAGUCUUAAUAUCUUUCAUAAAUAUCUUUCAUAAACAUUUCAGUAUUUAUUCAUAUGUAUUUUUUCCAUGUUCUUUGGUCAUUCAAUGUUCAUAAUAGACUUUAUAGUUAUCUGAGGGAAGUCGGCUGUGUAGUCAAUCUUUUGUUUUAACCUAUAAAAUGGCUAAUACAGGAUUUUCAUCCUGUGGUCACAGUGACUAUUCAAAGAUUUAUGGAGGUAAAUUGAUCUGUAAUCCUAAAUGAUCAUAAAAUAAUAUAAGUAAAUUUGUCUUAAGCUUUUCCAAAUACAUUCUGCCCUCAACUUGUUUUUAUUCUCCUGAGUGUCAAACCAAAACUUGUUUCUGAAAUGCUGCAGUUGAAACCCACUAAAGUAAAAGAAAUGGGACUUUUUACCCCCUAGCAAGACAAGGUCAUGGAAUUGGAAGAGUGAGGUCAUAGGGCAACAGCAUGACUUGGUGUGAUAGCAGCAAAUUCUGGAGACUGUUCUAUUAAAGUAUCCUUUAUAACUUGAGGAAGGAUAUUUAAUUCAUGUUUUUGACUAUAAUUCUAUUCAUUUAUGACCCUUUCUUCCCUGUAUUCUCAUCUUAGAUACUCUCAGAGGUGGGCAGCAGAGUGGAGAAAGUUCUUUGUUGACUAAAGGAAUAUAAUGCUAAAGAAGAGAGGAGCUAUCACCUUGUUUAAGGUACUCUUGGAGGCUUGAAAGAGCAAACCAGUUACUCCCAGCCUGUGCAACAAGCCCUAACCAGAUCACUAGUACCACAGAUUUUUCCACCAGCACUGCCAUGCCCAUUUAUGCCUUUUGAUUUUGACACUGUAGUUCUAAGUGCCUUGUCUUAAUGCACUCAAUAACUCAGUUUCUUUUUCAGAAAAAUGACAUAGCUUAUCUAAUAGAAAUCUAGAAAGCAGCAAAUACUGAAAAAUGAAAGUAAAAUGUUUUGCUAUAGGAGAUCCUAUAUCCAGGAUUUAAACUGUUUUAAUUGCAUCUGAGUCAUACUAUCAUGGAGAACACAUGGUUUAUUCCAAGGUCUCUCAAAAGUUAAUUUCAGAAGAAGCAACUUCUUUGUGGAGUCUAAUUUUUUCUACAUGGGAAGUGGGUACCUUUUUUGUUUUUCCUCUGAAUAAGAUAAAUAUCAUUAAGCAUCAUGGCUGAAAAGAAAUGAUCUAUAUUACCAACACUGUAUUUAUCAUAUGUAGUAAUUAGCUUUUAGUCAUGUACUUAAUAAUAUUUUGAAUAUUUAUCUUGAACUUUUUUCUAAUCUUCCCCAACUUUUUUUUUUUAAUAGUUAUUCCUUUCAAACUCCAGGUAACAGUAUUCCUGAGAAUACAUCUUGUGACAGUUUUAUGCACAUACAUAUAGAUACUUUAGCCAUUACACAUAAACAUUCAACACAUUACAUUCAACACAUUUAAGGGCACCUUAAAUGGAACAGAUGCACACAUCUGCAAAAUUUCAAUAGUCCCAGUAUGAAAACAUUCCUACUCUGUAAGGCCCUGUUUCUCAGAGUGGAGGCUUUUUUGCAAGAUACAACAUUGCUUAGCUUAUUGAAAGUUUCUAAUAGACUUCCACACACAAGAGUGAAGGAGUCAGGCUAAAAGGCAGACAGACCAGCAUAAUCAUGUUCAAAACAGCCCAACAGUUUUUAAAUACAUAUAAAGGUAUUUAUGAUUCUUGUUGGAUAUUUAACAAUCUUCUUUGACUUCUUUGCUAUUUAA